UACGGGGGGAGCAAGCGUUGUUCGGAAUCACUGGGCGUAAAGGGCGUGUAGGCGGUCAGGUUAGUGAGAUGUGAAACGCCCCGGCUCACCCGGGGACCUGCAUCUCAAACUGCCUGGCUUGAGUAUGGGAGAGGAUGAGGGAAUUCCUGGUGUAGCGGUGAAAUGCGUAGAUAUCAGGAGGAACACCGGUGGCGAAAGCGCUCAUCUGGCCCAAUACUGACGCUGAGGCGCGAAAGCUAGGGGAGCAAACGGG
rnacentral:rRNA from 1 species